rnacentral:rRNA from 1 species
AGGGUUUGAUCAUGGCUCAGAACGAACGCUGGCGGCAGGCCUUAUACAUGCAAGUCGAGCGCAUCCUUCGGGAUGAGCGGCGGACGGGUGAGUAACGCGUGGGAAUGUGCCCUUCUCUACGGAAUAGCCACUGGAAACGGUGAGUAAUACCGUAUACGCCCUCAGGGGGAAAGAUUUAUCGGAGAAGGAUCAGCCCGCGUUAGAUUAGGUAGUUGGUGGGGUAACGGCCUACCAAGCCUACGAUCUAUAGCUGGUUUUAGAGGAUGAUCAGCCACACUGGGACUGAGACACGGCCCAGACUCCUACGGGAGGCAGCAGUAGGGAAUCUUGGACAAUGGGGGCAACCCUGAUCCAGCCAUGCCGCGUGAGUGAAGAAGGCCCUAGGGUCGUAAAGCUCUUUCGCCUGUGAUGAUAAUGACAGUAGCAGGUAAAGAAACCCCGGCUAACUCCGUGCCAGCAGCCGCGGUAAUAC